GCGGCCGUGGCGUAAUUGGCAGCCGCGCAGGUCUUAGGAACCUGUGGGAGAGAUCCCGUGGGGGUUCGAGUCCCCCCGGCCGCA
rnacentral:tRNA from 1 species